GCCCCAAGGAUGGCUCUGUCCACGAAGGCAAGAGGAGGCACGGAACGAGCACACACACACCCCGCCCCCGCCACCCUUGGAGAGGCGGACGUUUUCCAAGGCGGACGUCUGUGCGCGGCAGGGCAGCUCGGGUCACGGCACCCGCCGUCUCCGCCAGGCCCACAGGCUUCCACGAAGAAACCUAAAGCCCUGCGACGAGGCAUGAGGCGAACCGCGCCAGGAAAAUCGGACCGUGCUGGAGGAACGCUUUCUCCUCGGAGACCCCGCGCCUGAGACGGGGGAGGAUCCAAGGCCACGGUCGCCCAAGCAGAAGAAACCUAAAGCCCUGCGACGAGGCAUGAGGCGAACCGCGCCAGGAAAAUCGGACCGUGCUGGAGGAACGCUUUCUCCUCGGAGACCCCGCGCCUGAGACGGCGGAGGAUCCAAGGCCACGGUCGCCCAAGCAAUCGAUGAGCAGCGGCGGCCGGCCGCCCGGCAACAACGUGCCGGACCUCAGUUUCGAUGAGAACGACGGUAGUGAGUUCUCACUCA
rnacentral:lncRNA from 1 species